UACGUAGGGUGCGAGCGUUAAUCGGAAUUACUGGGCGUAAAGGGCUCGUAGGCGGCCAACUAAGUCAGACGUGAAAUCCCUCGGCUUAACCGGGGAACUGCGUCUGAUACUGGAUGGCUUGAGAUUGGGAGAGGGAUGCGGAAUUCCAGGUGUAGCGGUGAAAUGCGUAGAUAUCUGGAGGAACACCGGUGGCGAAGGCGGGUCUCUGGGCCGAUACUGACGCUGAGGAGCGAAAGCGUGGGGAGCGAACAGG
rnacentral:rRNA from 1 species